CCGAGGUGCUUCCGGUUCCGCUUGGGCAUGGCGGUGGCGGGGGAGCGGCUCGGCCGCGCCGCGGGGCCGGGCCCGGGGUGCGGGGAGGAGCCGUUCGGCCCCUCGGUGCUGGGCACCAGAGAGCACUGGGAUGCUGCAUAUGAAAGAGAACUGCAAACUUUUCAAGACAUUGGAGAUGUUGGGGAAAUUUGGUUUGGAGAGGAAAGCAUGGUUCGCAUAAUCAGAUGGCUGGAAAAACAAAAGGUGCCCCUUGACAGCUCCUUGCUUGACAUUGGAACUGGAAAUGGUGUUUUACUGGUUGAACUGGCAAAGUCUGGCUACACAAAUCUCACAGGGAUUGAUUACUCUCCUUCUGCAAUAGAACUUUCAGAGAAAAUAAGAGAGAAAGAAGGGAUGUCUAACAUUAAAUUAAAGGUAGAAGACUUCCUGGCUCCUUCAGCUGAGCUGUCAGGAUUUGAGAUUUGUAUUGACAAGGGGACUUUUGAUGCCAUCAGCCUUAAUCCUGAUAACGCGGCGGGGAAGAGGAAGCAGUACGUGCGAUCUCUCUGCAGCGUAUUGAAACCAGGGGGCUUUUUCCUCAUAACAUCUUGCAACUGGACCAAGGAGGAGCUGUCGAACGAGUUCAGAGAAGGUUGGGUUCUGAAUCUCAUGCCUGAGGCUUGAAACUCAGUGUGGAUCUAGAACAACCGUCCCUUCUGGGGAGCUAAAGUUACUGGGUUUGAAAUUCUGGAGGAGCUGCCAACACCCAAGUUUUGCUUUGGAGGAAGAAUUGGAAACAGUGUAACAGCAUUGGUUUUCCAAAGGAAAAAAGUGAGGCCAUCCAUCUUGGACAAAUUAGAUUAGUUGAGAAAAGUCUGAACUUUAAACCUGAUAGAAAACCUCAGACACGUGUGUAAAUAAAUGCUCUUUGAGUACACAGUCAAAUACUUUGUAUGGAACUCGAAGGGACUAUAAAACAUUGCCCUAGAAACAUUUCAGCUUUGCACAGCGUGCCUGUAAAUUUUGUCCUCGCUACAACCUCACUUGUUCUAGGGAAGCUGCGAGUUUCUAAGUGAGAAAGAAAUAAGGCAUUCUGACUAUGAACCUAAUAUAACUGAAUGAUGUUUGCAUUUGGAAUGGAAAGAUUUAAUUUCUGAAUUGGUGAUCUGUGACUGAUAGAGGUAAAGCUUUUCUACAAAGCAGAAGUCUCACUUCUCUGUUGUGCGGUGUAAUAAGGAACAAGCUUUUGCAGUGGGAAUGCUGCAUCUUCUGUUUUUUUCUUAGGUACAUCAAUGUAAGUGUUAAGGAGCCGUAAAAGCUGUAGCAUUGCAAAAAGAGGACCAGUUUGUGCUUGAAAUUCAGAUUUUCAGAGGUUCUCAGCCUCAUAGAGUUCUGUCUCCACCGAAAUAGCUCAACUCUUUUCCCACAGAGGGAAUGCUUUUAAAAAUCUCACUUGCCUGAAUGUGUGCAUGCUUUGUCAGUUAUUUUCACUGAUCUCAUAAAUACAUAAAGAUGUGAUGUUACAGUCUCA